CUUUAUUGUCAGCUAGCUGCUCCGUGCUGGGCAGGGGAGUUCGACCACAAGCGGAGUCUACCUGCAUAUUACAGAAUACCAAAAGAGGGUGCCAGAACCUAUUAGAACCCACCACGUGGCUUCUGGGAAUCGAACUCAAGAUUCUGAAAGAGCAGCAGACGGGUCUCUUGCUGUCUGAGUAUCUCCAGUCUCUAAGGCUAGAAUCUUUACUGAGAAAUUCACGUUUAAAACAGCCCAAAUAUAAUGUAAUAAAUAGAGAAUUGCAGUAAAAGAGUAAAUUCUAAUAACAAAGAUA
rnacentral:lncRNA from 1 species